ACAAAUCGAGUUUGAAAUCGACGACAAGGAUCACUUCUCCAUCUCCGCCGCCGGCAGAAAUCUCGUGUUUCCGGCCGCCUCCGACCUCGUCCGCCACCGACGAGGUGUUCAUCAGCUUUCUGUUCAUCUCCGCCAUGGCCGACGACAGGCCUCAGCGCCGCACGCGCUCGUUCCUGCCGGCCUUCUUCCCGGUAGUCGACCACGUCUUCUCUGCUCUGGUCGCAUCAUUCCCGUUCUCGCAUUUGCUUCUUCCCGGAUAGGAUCGCGAAGUGGUGAUGUGAGAUCCGAC